AGAAGACGAAGAGCUGGAAUAGAGCUCGCCUCGGCUCUGCUGGCCUUGGCUGCAGCUCUUCCAGAGACCCGGGGCGUCCACAGAAGAAGCUCUUACCUGGCUCUCUCUUCAGGGAUGACAUCAUCGGCUCACACCAGUCUUCCAGGACCACCUUCUGGAUGCUCAAGUACCUGCUUCGCACCUCUGCCUCCUGGAGCAUGGAUUCCAGGAACCUGCUAGCAUACAGAACAACUUCUUGUGGACCCCCCUGGAUCAGGACAGCGAGGGACAAGUGACAAAGAGGAUCACCAGUGUCCAGCUAGUCUCUCUCUGGGGUUCAAACCUUGAACCAGUGCCCUAGUGAGGGGGCACUGGCCAUGACCCUUGACCUUUGCUCUGCUUGUGUCUUGAGUCUGAGCCCUUUCCUGUACAUCUGUGCUUGUGUUCAUCUGCUAGUGAACUGGAGUGCUUCCCUCCCCGAAGGGGGGUCGUCCCUUGUGACUGACCAUGUUGUCCUAACAAUGUCCUGAGCAGAAGGGUCCCUUUGGGAACCUCUCAGGAGGGGGGGGCCUGGGUCGGGGGCGACCAGCAUCUUGCUGGCAACUCUGUGGGUGGGGUGGGGUGGGGUGGGGGUGGGUGCUUCCUUCUGGAAUGAGCAUGCGGCUGACCCCCAAAGGCAUGUCCCCUCCCCCUCCACCCACCUUCUUGGAGAUGUCCCUUCCUUUUGGGGUAAUGGGGACAUUAGGAGCAACCUCCUAGGGCUGUUGUGAGGAUUAAAUGAACUACAGCAGCCUGAGGCUGGGCUGGGCAGAAACCUCAGCACAUGUUUGUUGAAAGGUUUGCAGGUGGAUCUAGUCCCCAACUCACGGUCUCAUGUGCCUCAUCUAUUCUCCUGCAGACCUGGAGCCCCUAUGCCCAGGGCUCUCCUUGCUCCAGGUAGGGGCUCCUAAAGACAACAGGUCGUCCGGGAGACUUUGACCCGGCUUCUCGAGGCCUGUCUACACUCGCUGCUUUCCUUCCUCACCUCCAAUUUCCCCUCCAACCCACUGCUUCCUGACUCGCUCUUCUCCAUCGAACGGCUCUCGCUCAGGUUUAUGACUUGACUUGCUGGCUCUGGAGAUCCUGGUGUCGUCUUCGUCGAACUCGAACUCGUAGUCGUCGUCCUUUCCUGGCCUGUCGCGUCUUCCUGUGCCAUUUCCUGUUGUGCUCAGGUUCCACGAGCUGCCCAUCUCCACAGAAGAGCAGCUGGCAUUGCCCACCGGCCAUGCCGGCUGAAGAAGAGAAGACUGAGGACCCCAGGACACCCAGCGCAAGGACCCCAGGAUGCCCAGCGCGAGGACCCCAGGAUGCCCAGCGCGAGGACCCCAGGAUGCCCAGCGCGAGGACCCCACGGCACGUUUCGACCAUCCUGGAUUGGGCCAAAGUCGUCAUCUGGAAUUCUGCGUGGGACCCUGGACACACGGACACAGAAACCUGCCCACAGGACCCUCCAACUGUAAAUCGAUUGGAAGCGCCCUUGUGAGCUGGGGCCUUCAAAGGGCUGAGGAGAAAAUGCAGGCCGAGAGACCAGCUUCUCAAAUAGGCUUCAAGCCUCCAAUGACCUGAGCUCACCCCCUGGAAAUGUCUGCAAAACAUAAUGGGCAGGUUUUCUGUCUUCAAAGUUUCCAUCGAAACCUCUUCAAGUUCUUUAUUGUUUAGGACUGAGACAUUUGGGGACGGUAAUGGGGACUUUCUUUUGUAUCUGUCUUAAAAGGCCAAAAUAUUUUUAUAUUGCUGUAGACAAAGCCACCUAUUUACAAAUGAACUCUGUUCCGUCGUUUCCCACUGGGAAGACCGUACUAUGUUUGUGUCUCUAUGUAUUCUGGGGUCUUGAAACAGGUUUCUCAUGGGGAUGGCCAUUCACUGGGGCCCAGAGGGGCAGAAGGGGAAGUGUCUGCCCUGCCAAGGGGGUCUGGGGAAGGAGGGGGGCUAGUCUCAGAUUUGUUCCUUGUAUAUCUAGGGUAAACCCUGGGAGAAUCUGGUGUUAAAAGAACAUAUGCUGUGUUUGCCCCACAUCUGCCAUUUGUGUGUGUUUCUGGGCUACGGGUUUGCACACUUUGGUAGUUAACAUGGUGGGAGGAAGUAAGAAGGGCCAAGAGGGCACGGGUACUCUAGUUUUCUUGUUGGGAGGCUGUUUCACUGGUGUGUGUUACAUCACAUAAUGCAUGUUUAGCUGGGCAAGUGAAAGCAGUGUGAGGGAUAGAGAAACAAACAGGUAGUCACGGGAGGAGCACACAAUCGAAUUCUGUCUCACUGGUGCCCAGGCAAUUGAUAUAUAAAUCAAGAAAAUGCCGAGGUGAUAGGUUAUAGAAAAGGCCAUGUACAAACUGGUAUUGUGUCAUCAUGGACCUACGGAAUUGUUUAGCUGAAGAAGGAAUCCUAAAGAACAGAAGGAAGGAGGAAAAGAGCUGUCUAAGCCAGCUCUGAGGUUUUUGAGGCCCCUUAAUAUAAAGAGAGAUGACAGAGUGUGAUCAUAGAGAGAGAAGGAAGCAGGAAAGAGAGAGAACAAACAAACAAGGUGCUUACAAGGAGAGCCCAGCUAAGUCUGGUAUCAGGGAUAGUUAAUCCCGUCUGGGCACCCCAGCUCCAAGGGCAUGAGAGACAGCAAGUAAGAAAGAGGACAUAUAGGGAACUGUAAAAAGACAGAGACAGUAUAGACAAAAGGAAAGAAAGUAUAAAUAAAUAAGGAUGUAAAUAAAUAAAUAAGAAAGAAAGAAAGCAGACAGAUGAGGGACUUCAGGGGAGGGUUAAACAAGGCUUCACAAUCUGACCAAUUCUAUCAGCAGAGGGUUAAAUACAAAAAAAAAAAAAAAAAAAAAAGAAGGAAAGCUGGAAGAAAGGAUGGUGGAUGCGAAAGGCAUAGAGAAGAGAAAGCAGCAGGGAUGUUUGCAGGUGACUCGAUUCACCAGGCUGUGCAGCUGAGAAAGGCAGCCAGUGACAGACAAAGGAGAAGAAAGGUAAUAAUACACUCACAAAUAGGUAGAUGAAUGUAGUUGGAAGACAGAGCCCUGCCAGGGACGGGACGAGAGGCUGUGUCAGCAGACUGGUUAAUUCCCAUCUGUGCUUCUGAGAUGGACAAUGACCCACCCGACCAAGAGACCUUUCAGGCAUCAAUAUGUCAGGGAGGGCUUCAAUGGGGCCUUGGAGGGAGGCCCAUUAAUAGCAGAUUAUGAUGUAUCCAAUUAGGUGCACCUGCCCUCUGGAAGUGCAGAAACCAGUAUUGAAAUGGAAAGAAAGACUGAAUGGAAGCGAGAGGACAAAUGAAUGGAUGGGAAAAAAGACUUGCAUUCACUCUUAGGGGGAGGGUGCUGCCGAGCCCCAGGGUCAUCUGAUCUCCCAGAGAAUAAAAGGGCGAGGGAGUGAUAGAAAGUAACAAUAAGAUGGGGGAAAAAUGAAAAGGAGCGCAGAAGAUAAUAAGGGGGGGACAAUUAAGUCUAGGAUAGGCGCUUGUUUAACACAAGUCAUCCAUAUUAAUUCAAAAUUGAGGCCCUGGGAUGGAGCUCAGGGAUGAAGCUGUUGCCGAGCAUGUGCCAAGUUCUGGGUUCCAUCUCUGCCUUGCGAGACAAACACAGGAAACAAAAUUAUAGCCCGGGGGUUGUAAAUGUUGUUGUUGAUCAUGUUGGGACAAAGAGCUAGAUCAGUGGGAAGAUAGAGAAAAAGGAAGAGGUUGGAAAGACUUAGACGAACAGGAGAGGAAGCAGCAGUUCUCAGAUAAGCGUUUAAAUAUGAUGAAUCCGUAUCUGUUGGGUGCGUCAAACAAAUGCGUAGAAACUUACCCAUAAAAGAGAAAAUAGCAAAAAGAAACAAGUUUACGAGUGGCCACACGAGGAUGUGCGGGAAGUGGUGACAUUAGUUUGUCACUGUGGCGCUCAAGUGAUGUCAGGGAUAAACAAUGUACAGAGGAGAUAAAGAAAGACACAUGCCAUACCAAAAAGAGACAGGACAGACAGACACAGCUUUCUAAAAGGUUGAGGACAUAAUGAAUAUACAUGGAGACAUAUGCCUGAGAGGGCCGUAUAGGGAUGAGAGAGCAGCAACAAGAAUUCUGUCCAAUUCAAAACUGAGCUCCUGAGAUAGCUAAAUAUCUUCUGAGACCAAGCACCAGCACAGGAGAUUGAAUAACAAAAGAGCUGCAGGCAGACCCAUGUGGAGAAGGCUUGGGACCCUCAGAACAUGCUUAAUCUAAAUCUGUGCACCUGAGGUCCAUAGAUAAAAGAAUAAAUAUUGAAAUAAAAGAGUGACUGAAAGGAUGAAUGAGCACACAUGACUGAAUUAGAAAUGGGAAUGGCCAGAGCAGCCAGGAAGGAGUGGCCCAUGGGACUUCUGUUCAUCUUAUUCUGGGCACCUGAGGUCCCUUCGUGAGAAGACACAGGGGGAAGAGGGGAAGGGAAAGGCGUGAGAGAAAAUGAAAGAGAGGGGAGGAAAGGAGAGUAGCAAAGAGAGGAAGCGAUCCGUGGGUGCCUCGGAAGAGGAACGUCCAUGAGGAUUAAUAACGAGGC